rnacentral:rRNA from 1 species
UACGUAGGGACCAAGCGUUGUUCGGAUUUACUGGGCGUAAAGGGCGCGUAGGCGGGAUGGCAAGUCAGUCGUGAAAUCUCUCGGCUCAACCGAGAAACGUCGGCUGAUACUGCCGUUCUUGAGGGAUGCAGAGGAGACUGGAAUUCCCGGUGUAGCGGUGAAAUGUGUAGAGAUCGGGAGGAACACCGGUGGCGAAGGCGGGUCUCUGGGCAUCUCCUGACGCUGAGGCGCGAAAGCGUGGGGAUCAAACAGG